CCGCUUGCUGAUUGUGAACUUGUUAGUUACAUUCUUGCAGGUUUGGGCACUGAAUAUGAUCCCCUAAUCACGUCCCUCACCAUUCUUCUUGAUCUGAUGACACUUCAAGAGGUUUAUGGGCAUCUUUUCAACUACAAGC